AUUGAACGCUGGCGGCAGGCCUAACACAUGCAAGUCGAACGAGUGGCGGACGGGUGAGUAAUGUCUGGGAAACUGCCCGAUGGAGGGGGAUAACUACUGGAAACGGUCGCUAAUACCGCAUACCAUCGGAUGUGCCCAGAUGGGCUUAGCUAGUAGGUGGGGUAAUGGCUCACCUAGGCGACGAUCCCUCGCUGGUCUGAGAGGAUGAACGUCCACAAGGGAACUGAGACACGGGCCAGACUCCUACGGGAGGCAGCAGUGGGGAAUAUUGGACAAUGGGCGCAAGCCUGAUGCAGCCAUGCCGCGUGUAUGAAGAAGGCCUUCGGGUUGUAAAGUACUUUCAGCGAGGAUGCGUUACUCGCAGAAGAGGCACCGGCUAACUCCGUGCCAGCAGACGGAGUAAUUC
rnacentral:rRNA from 1 species